UCCGGGGUUUCCCCGGCAGUCCCCUGUGAGUGCUCGGCACUACCCGGUGGCAACACAGAGUAGGGGUUGCGCCCGUUGCGCCACUUAAGGCAACACCUCACGGCACGAGCUGACGACAGCCAUGCAGCACCUGAACCGGCAGUCCCCGAAGGGAAAAUCCGCUUUCACGGACGGUCCGCCGUUGUCUAGCCCAGGUAAGGUUCUUCGCGUUGCGUCGAAUUGAACCACAUGCUCCACCGCUUGUGCGGGCCCCCGUCAAUUCCUUUAAGUUUUAAUCUUGCGACCGUACUCCCCAGGCGGGGCACUUAAUGCGUUAGCUGCGGCACCCAGGGGGUCAAUACCCCAGACACCUAGUGCCCAUCGUUUACAGCGUGGACUAC
rnacentral:misc_RNA from 1 species